AUUGAACGCUGGCGGCAGGCCUAACACAUGCAAGUCGAGCGGAUGAAGGGAGCUUGCUCCUGGAUUCAGCGGCGGACGGGUGAGUAAUGCCUAGGAAUCUGCCUGGUAGUGGGGGAUAACGUCCGGAAACGGGCGCUAAUACCGCAUACGUCCUGAGGAGGAAGUUGGGGGAUCUUGGGCCCCCCGCCUAUCAAUUAGGCUAGGUCGGAUUAGCUAGUUGGUGGGGUAAAGGCCUACCAAGGCGACGAUCCGUAACUGGUCUGAGAGGAUGAUCAGUCACACUGGAACUGAGACACGGUCCAGACUCCUACGGGAGGCAGCAGUGGGGAAUAUUGGACAAUGGGCGAAAGCCUGAUCCAGCCAUGCCGCGUGUGUGAAGAAGGUCUUCGGAUUGUAAAGCACUUUAAGUUGGGAGGAAGGGCAGUAAGUUAAUACCUUGCUGUUUUGACGUUACCAACAGAAUAAGCACCGGCUAACUUCGUG
rnacentral:rRNA from 1 species